UACGUAGGGAGCAAGCGUUGUCCGGAAUUACUGGGCGUAAAGGGCGCGUAGGUGGGCGCUUAAGUCAGGUGUGAAAACUCCGGGCUCAACCUGGAGACUGCACUUGAAACUGGGUGUCUUGAGGGCAGGAGAGGAAAGUGGAAUUCCUAGUGUAGCGGUGAAAUGCGUAGAUAUUAGGAGGAACACCAGUGGCGAAGGCAACUUUCUGGACUGUACCUGACGCUGAGGCGCGAAAGCGUGGGUAGCGAACGGG
rnacentral:rRNA from 1 species